UGCAUAUAAAUAAACCUAGACAACCACGAAGAGUCCCUCACAGUUUCAUGUAUUCACAGAAUUAUUUCAUCUUUAAAGCCAUCAGUGAACAAUUAGUUCUGCUACUUGUUAAAGUUGUGCAAAAUUUCUCAAUUUAAACAUACAGUCUUAAUUAUACCACUGUUCUAAUGUCCCAAGACUGAUUGGAGGUAAUGGAAUCUCAACAAUAUCUUAAAUAGUAAUUUAAAAAAUUCAUUGCGAUCUACAAGACUAAUAUAUCUAAAGGAAAAUAAUUCAUAUUCACUAAAUUCCUCCCCUUUCUUCCUUCUUACCUAUUCUCCCUUUCACUUGACAAUUUUUUUCUACAGUAUAUGAUGAUGGCCAAAUUACCCAAUAUCAACUGUUUCAAAAAAGAAAUGUUAUUUUAAAAGAUACCAUACAGCAAGAGACUUAUAGGUGUAACACCAUUGAAAUUAUUUGCUAAGCCCUGGCCAGGCACGGUGGCUCACACCUGCAAUUCCAAUACUUUGGGAGGCUGAGCAGGCAGAUCACUUGACAUCAGGAGUUCAAGACCACCCUGGCCAAUAUGGUGGAACCCUGUCUCUACUAAAAAUACAAAAAUUAAGUGGACAUGGUGGCUAUCCCAGCUACUCAGGUGGCUGAGGCAGGAGAAUUGCUUGAGCCCGAGAGGCAGAGGUUGCAGUGAGCCAAGAUUCUGCCACUACACUCUAGCCUGGAUGACAGAGCCAGACUCUGUCUCAAAAGAAAAAAAAAAUUAUUUACCAAGCUGUGUUUUCGUAGUGUUUUUUAAUUCUCCAAACUGCUUCAGUAUCUGUAGUGUUUUUUACAUUUCAAAGACUUCUCACAUGUAACAUUUCAUUGGAAUUAGCACUGUACAUCAUAGUUGAUAUGGAAAUUAUUACAUCUACAGAUGAAGAAAAUGUAGACGUAAAGAACCAUUUGCUCUAAUGUCAUCCAGUGUAACUGCUAAGAGUUAGGAUUAGACUCAAGUCCUAUCCCUAAUCCUGUAUACUACCCUAAACUCCUAAGCCCCCAUACAUUGUACUGCACAGAAUGCUACUAGUGACUGUACUCAUGCAUUCAAACAAGUUUUGGAAAUGUGUUAAGCAAAGCUAACCAGAUUCCUGGAGUAUUACGCAUCAUAAAUCCUCAGGAAGGAUCCAGAGAAUAGGGCAGUUGCCAUAAAGUUAAAAGCCCCACAGGUGUCAGGCAGGUAACAAAGGUGAGCAUGCAGGGAACAUAAGGAUUUGGGGAUUAGAGGAUGCAGCCCCAUCUAGUGGGACCCUGGUCACAUAGCAAUCCAGUCCAAUCUUGCCAGGUCUUUCCAGAGAAACUACAAAUCUUGGCUUUAAUUUCAAAUCUCCAAUUUUGUGCAUGUUGCCUCAAAUUUAAGAAAAAAAGACACUAUAGCUUUUAAAAAAUAAAAUUUUUGACCAGAUCGGGCUGGCCACAUUUGGGAAAACUGAAAUACCAUGUAUCACAAUCUUAUUUGCCCACAGAAUUUUCCUUCAAAGGACCUAUAAAUUUCCUAGAAUGAUAACUGCGUUAAAAAAUGUUGCCUCUGGCUGGGCGCGGUGGCUUAUGCCUGUAAUCCCAACACUUUGGGGAGGCCAAAGCGGGUGGCUCACCUGAGGUCAGGAGUUGGAGGCCAGCCUGGCCAAUAUGGUGAAACCCUGUCUCUACUAAAAAUAAGCUGGGCGUUGUGGCGGGCAUCUGUAAUCCCAGCUACUCAGGAGGCUGAGGCAGGAGAAUCACUUGAACCUGGGAGGUGGAGGUUGCAGUGAGCCAAGAUUGUGCCAUUGCAUUUCAGCCUGGGUGACAAGAGCAAAACUCCAUCUCAAAAAAACAAAAACAAAAACAAAAAGUUUCCUCUGAAAGCAAGCAUCCUGUUGCCCCAGACAACUAUGGUAUGGGUAGCUCUGAACCUCAACCAUGAAUUAUUUCAGAGUUUACUCAAACUGAAAUUGAAAUUAAUACCCAGCCUUAACUGUUCAUGUAGAAAUGUUUCUUUUCUGACAAAUCUAGCCCUUGCAAAUCUAUACUUAGUAGAGAACAGUGUUUCUCCAUGUUGGUCAGGCUGGUCUCAAACUCCCGACCUCUAGUGAUCCACUCACCUCAGCCUUCCAAAGCCCUGGGAUUACAGGCAUGAGCCACCAUGCCCGGCCGGCAAAUAUAUACUUCUAAACAAUUAUACUGGUUUAGUAUAAUUGUUUUUUAUAUAUUUUUAUACUGACUAAAGAUAUCCUUACAAUAAGC
rnacentral:lncRNA from 10 species